UACGUAGGCAGCGAGCGUUGUUCGGAGUUACUGGGCGUAAAGGGUGUGUAGGCGGUUGUUUAAGUUUGGUGUGAAAUCUCCCGGCUCAACUGGGAGGGUGCGCCGAAUACUGAAUGACUAGAGUGCGGGAGAGGAAAGUGGAAUUCCUGGUGUAGCGGUGAAAUGCGUAGAUAUCAGGAGGAACACCGGUGGUGUAGACGGCUUUCUGGACCGUAACUGACGCUGAGACACGAAAGCGUGGGUAGCGAACAGG
rnacentral:rRNA from 1 species